rnacentral:rRNA from 1 species
AUACGGAGGAUGCGAGCGUUAUCCGGAUUUAUUGGGUUUAAAGGGAGCGUAGGUGGAAUAUUAAGUCAGCUGUGAAAGUUUGGGGCUCAACCUUAAAAUUGCAGUUGAUACUGGUUUCCUUGAGUACGGUACAGGUGGGCGGAAUUCGUGGUGUAGCGGUGAAAUGCUUAGAUAUCACGAAGAACUCCGAUCGCGAAGGCAGCUCACCGGGCCGGAACUGACACUGAUGCUCGAAAGUGCGGGUAUCAAACAGGAUUAGAUACCCUGGUAGUCCGCACAGUAAACGAUGAAUACUCGCUGUUUGCGAUACACGGUAAGCGGCCAAGCGAAAGCGUUAAGUAUUCCACCUGGGGAGUACGCCGGCAACGGUGAAACUCAAAUGAAUUGACGGGG